rnacentral:rRNA from 1 species
CAGGCCUAACACAUGCAAGUCGAACGGUAACAGGCCUUCGGGCGCUGACGAGUGGCGAACGGGUGAGUAAUGCAUCGGAACGUGCCCAGUCGUGGGGGAUAACGCAGCGAAAGCUGUGCUAAUACCGCAUACGAUCUGCGGAUGAAAGCGGGGGACCUUCGGGCCUCGCGCGAUUGGAGCGGCCGAUGUCAGAUUAGGUAGUUGGUGGGGUAAAGGCCCACCAAGCCGACGAUCUGUAGCUGGUCUGAGAGGACGACCAGCCACACUGGGACUGAGACACGGCCCAGACUCCUACGGGAGGCAGCAGUGGGGAAUUUUGGACAAUGGGCGCAAGCCUGAUCCAGCAAUGCCGCGUGCAGGAAGAAGGCCUUCGGGUUGUAAACUGCUUUUGUACGGAACGAAAAGGUCUGGGUUAAUACCCUGGGCUCAUGACGGUACCGUAAGAAUAAGCACCGGCUANUCUG